UCCCUGGUGGCCGAGUGGCUAAGACUCUGUGCUCCCAAAGCAGGGAGCUAGGGUUCAAACCCUGGUCGGGGAA
rnacentral:tRNA from 1 species